GUGGGGAAUCUUGCGCAAUGGGCGAAAGCCUGACGCAGCCAUGCCGCGUGAAUGAUGAAGGUCUUAGGAUUGUAAAAUUCUUUCACCGGGGACGAUAAUGACGGUACCCGGAGAAGAAGCUCCGGCUAACUUCGUGCCAGCAGCCGCGGUAAUACGAAGGGGGCUAGCGUUGCUCGGAAUUACUGGGCGUAAAGGGCGCGUAGGCGGACAGCUUAGUCAGAGGUGAAAGCCCAGGGCUCAACCUUGGAAUUGCCUUUGAUACUGGCUGUCUUGAGUGUGGGAGAGGUGAGUGGAACUCCGAGUGUAGAGGUGAAAUUCGUAGAUAUUCGGAAGAACACCAGUGGCGAAGGCGACUCACUGGCCCGUUACUGACGCUGAGGCGCGAAAGCGUGGGGAGCAAACAGGAUUAGAAACCCCAGUAGUCC
rnacentral:rRNA from 1 species